GACGAACGCUGGCGGCGUGCCUAAUACAUGCAAGUCGGACGCACAGUCUAUACCGUAGCUUGCUACACCAUAGGCUGUGAGUUGCGAACGCGUUAGCAACGCGUAGGUCAGCUGCCUAUUAGAGGUAGUUAACUAUUGGCAACGGUAGCUAAUACCGCAUAACAGUAUGUAACACAUGUUAUAUGCUUGAAAGGUUGAAGUGCCUCGCUCGUAGCUGGACCUUCGUUGUUUUAGCUAGUAGGUGGGGUAUUGGCCUACCUAGGCGACGAUACAUAGCCGAACCGAGAGGGUGAUCGGCCACACUGGGAAUGAGACAAGGCCCCGAACUCUAAGGGAGGCAGCAGUAGGGAACCUUCGGCAAGGGGGGGAACCAUGACCGAGGAAAGGCGCGUGAGUGAAGAAGGUGUUCGGAUCGUAAAGCUAGGUUGUUAAGGAAGAACGAGUGUGAGAAUGGGAAGUUCAUACUGUGACGGUACUUAACGAGAAAGCGACGGCUAACUCCGUG
rnacentral:rRNA from 1 species